CAUUAGCUCUCCUGAGCGAAGCCAUGCGAUGCAUGCUUAGCUCAUUGGCUAAGCGAGUUGGAGUGUCUCAUUGCAUUGCAAAAAUAGUGAUGCCUCUCUAUGACCUACUCUUUACAGUUCUAAUAGCAUAACUCAUAUUUUUUUUUUGCCUAAACCUGCCUGCUUGGUUCAGUUAAUGGUUUACUCCAAGCACCAUGAGCACUUCGUUGAUUUGAAGUGGUCAUGGUGCCUGUAGUCUGUAUGUGUAACACUGCACAUAUUGAAAUUAAGCCCUUUGCUGCUGAAAGUAUAACUAUAGCAAUGUCAAAAUGGUGCCAUUAGUGAGCCUGGAAAUAUUAUUGCAUUUAUUAGCUGACAGCAGUCAGCUGACACUCUCAGCCAAUGAAUGGCUAGCGGGAUUGACUUCCAUCUUCGGCAGAGCUCUGCAUGAGACACCAAAUGCUCCACAUAGAGAUGUGAUUUGUCUUACAUGCGCACUAGCCUCCAAAUACUACCCUAUAAGAG